AAGUCGUAACAAGGUUUCCGUAGGUGAACCUGCGGAAGGAUCAUUAACACGUAUCCAACGUUAAACAACCCUGUGAACUUUAAGUCCCCUCUUGCAGCCCAUGAGGAACAGCAAUCCCGGUAAAUCAUUGCCAAACAGUUUUGAUUCGGGACCUCUGUCCAAAACCCCAAGCAGUUAGUGAAUGACAGUGUCACUGACUGUGUAAGGAUAACGCCUCACGGUUGCUAGAGGUCGAUCACCGACCGGCAGACAUGUCACAGGGUCACCACGCCCCUUAAUCACUCCACUUGAAAAUGCCCCGCCUAGUGGUAACGCGCUAGGUAAAAAAAACCGAACAACUGUUAACAAUGGAUAUCUUGGUUCUC
rnacentral:misc_RNA from 1 species